rnacentral:rRNA from 1 species
AUUGAACGCUGGCGGCAGGCCUAACACAUGCAAGUCGAGCGGAUGACGGGAGCUUGCUCCUCGAUUCAGCGGCGGACGGGUGAGUAAUACCUAGGAAUCUGCCUGAUAGUGGGGGACAACGUUUCGAAAGGAACGCUAAUACCGCAUACGUCCUACGGGAGAAAGCAGGGGACCUUCGGGCCUUGCGCUAUCAGAUGAGCCUAGGUCGGAUUAGCUAGUUGGUGAGGUAAUGGCUCACCAAGGCGACGAUCCGUAACUGGUCUGAGAGGAUGAUCAGUCACACUGGAACUAAGACACGGUCCAGACUCCUACGGGAGGCAGCAGUGGGGAAUAUUGGACAAUGGGCGAAAGCCUGAUCCAGCCAUGCCGCGUGUGUGAAGAAGGUCUUCGGAUUGUAAAGCACUUUAAGUUGGGAGGAAGGGCAGUAAGCUAAUACCUUGCUGUUUUGACGUUACCGACAGAAUAAGCACCGGCUAACUCUGUGCAGCCGCCGCCGUAAGAC